ACCCUUAUGGUCUAGUGGUUAUGAUUUCCGCCUUCCAAUCGUCUGAUGAACGUCAUCAGAGAAAGAGCGAGCGGGAGACACGAGUUCGAUUCUCGUUGAGGGUA